rnacentral:rRNA from 1 species
UACGUAGGGCGCAAGCGUUGUCCGGAAUUAUUGGGCGUAAAGAGCUCGUAGGCGGUUUGUCGCGUCUGCUGUGAAAACUCGAGGCUCAACCUCGGGCUUGCAGUGGGUACGGGCAGACUAGAGUGCGGUAGGGGAGACUGGAAUUCCUGGUGUAGCGGUGGAAUGCGCAGAUAUCAGGAGGAACACCGAUCGGCGAAGGCAGGUCUCUGGGCCGCA